GUGCCAGCAGCCGCGGUAAUACGUAGGGGGCAAGCGUUGUCCGGAAUCAUUGGGCGUAAAGCGCGUGUAGGCGGCUUGGUAAGUCCGCUCUGAAAGCCCGGGGCUCAACCCCGGGAGGCGGGUGGAUACUGUCAAGCUCGAGUCCGGAAGAGGCGAGUGGAAUUCCCGGUGUAGCGGUGAAAUGCGCAGAUAUCGGGAGGAACACCAAUGGCGAAGGCAGCUCGCUGGGACGUGACUGACGCUGAGACGCGAAAGCGUGGGGAGCAAACAGGAUUAGAUACCCUGGUAGUCC
rnacentral:rRNA from 1 species